UUGGAGGGCAAGUCUGGUGCCAGCAGCCGCGGUAAUUCCAGCUCCAAUAGCGUAUAUUAAAGUUGUUGCAGUUAAAAAGCUCGUAGUUGAAUUUCGGGGUUCUACCGUUGGUCGGGCUUUGUCUGUACUGGUGUGUAGAAUUUCUACCUUCUGGGGAACCAUCAUGCUAUUAAUUUAGCGUGGUGGGAAACCAGGACCUUUACCUUGAAAAAAUUAGUGUGUUCAAAGCAGGCUUAUGUCUGAAUACAUUAGCGUGGAAUAAUAGAAUAGGACGGUGGUCCUGUUUUGUUGGUUUCUGAAUCACCGUAAUGAUUAAUAGGGAUAGUUGGGGGCAUUAGUAUUCAAUUGUCAGAGGUGAAAUUCUUGGAUUUAUUGAAGACUAACUUCUGCGAAAGCAUUUGCCAAGGAUGUUUUCAUUAAUCAAGAACGAAAGUUAGGGGAUCGAAGACGAUCAGAUUCCGUCGUAGUCUUAACCAGAAACUAUGCCGACUAGGGAUCGGACGAUGUUAAUUUUUCUUGACUCGUUCGGCGCCUUACGGGAAAC
rnacentral:rRNA from 1 species